GUAACCUACGGGGGGCAGCAGUGGGGAAUAUUGCACAAUGGGGGAAACCCUGAUGCAGCGACGCCGCGUGAAGGAAGAAGUAUUUCGGUAUGUAAACUUCUAUCAGCAGGGAAGAAAAUGACGGUACCUGACUAAGAAGCCCCGGCUAGCUACGUGCCAGCAGCCGCGGUAAUACGUAGGGGGCAAGAGUUAUCCGGAUUUACUGGGUGUAAAGGGAGCGUAGGCGGCGAUGCAAGUCAGAAGUGAAAGCACGGGGCUCAACUCCGGGACUGCUUUUGAAACUGUAUGGCUAGAUGGCAGGAGAG
rnacentral:rRNA from 1 species